ANNNNNNNNNNNNNNNNNNNNCUGAAAACGCAGGAAAUGGCAUUUCCGAGGUUCAAAUUUUAAAAUUUUCUCGGGGGAGCAUGCCCCCGAACCCCCAAGGUUAGUGGUCAUUCAUAUACUGUACCCUCCCCCCAUUUUCGAGUACUAUACUCUGUCCCUGCACGUUUUAGGUUUUGGUGCAGUUAUACAUUUUUUGUAAGUACACCUGCACGCUUUAAUGUGGGGAACAUUAAGACAUAACCAAUAACCAUAUAAAAUAAAGCACAGUGAAAAUUCCUUGGCCCCUCUUGGGAUUCAGUUCUCGACCUCCUCUGACUGAAAACCCCAGCUACGUCUCUGACGAUAGCUAUAUGAAAGCCUUAAGUUACUGUAAGCCGUUAUUAUGAGAGGCAAAAAAAAUCUUGCGCUGCACUUUUACAGGAAAAAAUAUCUGUCUUGUUCGCCUGGGCGGGAAAAAAAUUCUUGCACAGUCUGAAUCUUCCAACCCCCCUCCCCCUCAAAAGUCAAAUGGUCCGCCCCUAAGUCAUGAAAUCAUGGGCGUACCGGAAGGAAA
rnacentral:lncRNA from 1 species